GAGCAGAUGAUGAAAGAAAUGAAACAACUACUGCUGAAAUUAAAUUGCAUGAUGUUUCAAAAUUUCGAGCUUUUUAAAACUGAUGCUCA
rfam:Beta vulgaris subsp. vulgaris 0982.scaffold01578.1, whole genome shotgun sequence.